GUCCACGCCGUAAACGAUGAAUACUAGGUGUCGGGAGGCAAAGCCUUUCGGUGCCGCAGCAAACGCAGUAAGUAUUCCACCUGGGGAGUACGUUCGCAAGAAUGAAACUCAAAGGAAUUGACGGGGACCCCGCACAAGCGGUGGAGCAUGUGGUUUAAUUCGAAGCAACGCGAAGAACCUUACCAGGCCUUGACAUCCCGAUGACCGUCCCGUAACUGGGGCCUCUCUUCGGAGCAUCGGAGACAGGUGGUGCAUGGUUGUCGU
rnacentral:rRNA from 1 species